CCGUGAAAAAAUUAGAGUGUUCAAAGCGGGCAGAUAUUUUUCCUGCCACCGAAUACAUUAGCAUGGGAUAAUGGAAUAGGACCCUGACCUCCUAUUUUCAGUUGGUUUUGUUUACAGCGAGGUUAUAUCAGGGUAAUGAUUAAUAGGGAUAGUUGGGGGCAUUAAUAUUUAAUUGUCAGAGGUGAAAUUCUUGGAUUUAUGAAAGAUUAACUUCUGCGAAAGCGUUUGCCAAGGAUGUUUUCAUUAAUCAAGAACGAAAGUUAGGGGAUCGAAGACGAUCAGAUACCGUCGUAGUCUUAACCAUAAACGAUGCCGACCAGCGAUUAGGAGACGUUGAAUACAAAACACCGCCGUUAAUCCUUUCGGGGGUUAAUGGUUGGUGAAUGACUC
rnacentral:rRNA from 1 species